UUUAUGGAGAGUUUGAUCCUGGCUCAGGAUGAACGCUGGCGGCGUGCCUAAUACAUGCAAGUCGAGCGAACGGACGAGAAGCUUGCUUCUCUGAUGUUAGCGGCGGACGGGUGAGUAACACGUGGAUAACCUACCUAUAAGACUGGGAUAACUUCGGGAAACCGGAGCUAAUACCGGAUAAUAUUUUGAACCGCAUGGUUCAAAAGUGAAAGACGGUCUUGCUGUCACUUAUAGAUGGAUCCGCGCUGCAUUAGCUAGUUGGUAAGGUAACGGCUUACCAAGGCAACGAUGCAUAGCCGACCUGAGAGGGUGAUCGGCCACACUGGAACUGAGACACGGUCCAGACUCCUACGGGAGGCAGCAGUAGGGAAUCUUCCGCAAUGGGCGAAAGCCUGACGGAGCAACGCCGCGUGAGUGAUGAAGGUCUUCGGAUCGUAAAACUCUGUUAUUAGGGAAGAACAUAUGUGUAAGUAACUGUGCACAUCUUGACGGUACCUAAUCAGAAAGCCACGGCUAACUACGUGCCAGCAGCCGCGGUAAUACGUAGGUGGCAAGCGUUAUCCGGAAUUAUUGGGCGUAAAGCGCGCGUAGGCGGUUUUUUAAGUCUGAUGUGAAAGCCCACGGCUCAACCGUGGAGGGUCAUUGGAAACUGGAAAACUUGAGUGCAGAAGAGGAAAGUGGAAUUCCAUGUGUAGCGGUGAAAUGCGCAGAGAUAUGGAGGAACACCAGUGGCGAAGGCGACUUUCUGGUCUGUAACUGACGCUGAUGUGCGAAAGCGUGGGGAUCAAACAGGAUUAGAUACCCUGGUAGUCCACGCCGUAAACGAUGAGUGCUAAGUGUUAGGGGGUUUCCGCCCCUUAGUGCUGCAGCUAACGCAUUAAGCACUCCGCCUGGGGAGUACGACCGCAAGGUUGAAACUCAAAGGAAUUGACGGGGACCCGCACAAGCGGUGGAGCAUGUGGUUUAAUUCGAAGCAACGCGAAGAACCUUACCAAAUCUUGACAUCCUUUGACAACUCUAGAGAUAGAGCCUUCCCCUUCGGGGGACAAAGUGACAGGUGGUGCAUGGUUGUCGUCAGCUCGUGUCGUGAGAUGUUGGGUUAAGUCCCGCAACGAGCGCAACCCUUAAGCUUAGUUGCCAUCAUUAAGUUGGGCACUCUAAGUUGACUGCCGGUGACAAACCGGAGGAAGGUGGGGAUGACGUCAAAUCAUCAUGCCCCUUAUGAUUUGGGCUACACACGUGCUACAAUGGACAAUACAAAGGGCAGCGAAACCGCGAGGUCAAGCAAAUCCCAUAAAGUUGUUCUCAGUUCGGAUUGUAGUCUGCAACUCGACUACAUGAAGCUGGAAUCGCUAGUAAUCGUAGAUCAGCAUGCUACGGUGAAUACGUUCCCGGGUCUUGUACACACCGCCCGUCACACCACGAGAGUUUGUAACACCCGAAGCCGGUGGAGUAACCUUUUAG
rnacentral:rRNA from 1 species